GAUGAACGCUAGCUACAGGCUUAACACAUGCAAGUCGAGGGGUAACAAGAGAAAAGCUUGCUUUUCUUGUUGACGACCGGCGCACGGGUGAGUAACGCGUAUCCAACCUGCCUAUAACUAGGGAAUAACCUUGCGAAGGUAAGACUAAUACCCUAUGAUUUCCUUUGAUGACAUCAGAUUAGGAAUAAAGAUUUAUCGGUUAUAGAUGGGGAUGCGUCUGAUUAGCUUGUUGGCGGGGUAACGGCCCACCAAGGCAACGAUCAGUAGGGGUUCUGAGAGGAAGGUCCCCCACAUUGGAACAGAGACACGGUCCAAACUCCUACGGGAGGCAGCAGUGAGGAAUAUUGGUCAAUGGGCGGAAGCCUGAACCAGCCAAGUAGCGUGCAGGAUGACGGCCCUAUGGGUUGUAAACUGCUUUUAUACAGGAAUAAAGUUAGCCACGUGUGGUUAUUUGUAGGUACUGUAUGAAUAAGGACCGGCUAAUUCCGUGCCAGCCGCCGCUGUAA
rnacentral:rRNA from 1 species